UUCGCCUUGUGCCAGCCGCCGCGUAAUUCCAGCUCCAAUAGCGUAUAUUAAAGUUGUUGUGGUUAAAAAGCUCGUAGUUGAACCUUGGGCCUGGCUGGCCGGUCCGCCUCACCGCGUGCACUGGUCCGGCCGGGCCUUUCCCUCUGUGGAACCCCAUACCCUUCACUGGGCGUGGCGGGGAAACAGGACAUUUACUUUGAAAAAAUUAGAGUGCUCCAGGCAGGCCUAUGCUCGAAUACAUUAGCAUGGAAUAAUAAAAUAGGACGCGCGGUUCUAUUUUGUUGGUUUAUAGGACCGCCGCAAUGAUUAAUAGGGACAGUCGGGGGCAUCAGUAUUCAACUGUCAGAGGUGAAAUUCUUGGAUCAGUUGAAGACUAACUACUGCGAAAGCAUUUGCCAAGGAUGUUUUCAUUAAUCAGGAACGAAAGUUAGGGGAUCGAAGACGAUCAGAUACCGUCGUAGUCUUAACCAUAAACUAUGCCGACUAGGGAUCGGACGGUGUUAUUCAUGACCCGUUCGGCACCUUACGAGAAAUCAAAGUGCUUGGGCUCCAGGGGGAGUAUGGGUCGCAAGGCUGAAACUUAAAGAAAUUGACGGAAGGGCACCACCAGGGGUGCAGCCUGCGCUUAAUUUGACUCAACACGGGGAAACUCACCAGGUCCAGACACAAUAAGGAUUGACAGAUGAGAGCUCUUUUCUUGAUUUGUGGGUGGGGCUGCAUGACCGUUCUAGGUGGUGGGGUGACUUGUCUGCUUAAUGCGAUAACGAACGAGACCUUAACCUGCUAAAUAG
rnacentral:rRNA from 1 species